AUCUUAUUAAACGAUUUUAAUAAUUUUUUUAUGUUUUUUAAUUUUUUUUUGGAUAAUUUAUAAUAUCAUCUUUUAGAUAAUGUCAGUAUUAUAGGAACACCCUCUUUCUUUCAUCAAAUUAAACUUAGAUUUCUUACCGUUAGUCACUGUCAAGGAAUAUACCUUAUAUACCGAUGUCAGUUACUAUAUUUUAUUUUAAAUACUAAAAUAUCUUUAUUAAAUGUGAAGUGCCUAAAAUACCGAGUGUUUUUUCUCUGCAAAACCCCUCAUCAUCCUCUCAUUCCCGGUCUUUGCCGUUGCCAGAGUAAGAAAGUUGAUAAAAAGACGUUGCAGGCGGCACUGGAUUGGACAUGUGGGCAUAAAUGAAACUCAUAUGAUCUCUACAGAGACAAAAUUCUCCGACCUGCAGAGAUGGUUGCAUCUGAACUUGAUUAUCGACUGCAUGAUAAUUUGAUGGUGAAGAACAAUUUGUUUACAGAUGGGGGAAAUAUGGGGAGUGCAUUCCAACGUCCAAUUCUGUGUAUUUUUUAUAGGAAUUUUGAGCUUUCGGUUGCAAUCCAUCACGAUUUCAGGUAUCAUCCCCUUGUCCAUAAUGUUAUUGGCUUGAAACUUAAUAGGUUGACUAUGCCGGGGGAGAAAGGAGGUAACCGUUCUUAUGAAUUAGAUAUGGCAGACCCAUUUUGGGUGGCAAAUGGGUCAUUGGAAUUCCAAGAAGCAGCAGUGGAGAUAGAAUGAAACUCAUCUGACCCGUUGAUGCGCACAGACAGAAAGAGGGAGAGGGACGACCCAUUUGGCGAUUACUGUUUAAUCCUGUUACGGAAGAUGUUUGACUGAUGCUCGAGGCAUGUUUAUGUACAUACGUAGUUUUUCAAUUAAAUGGUUUAAUAAUAGUCAGUUUAUUAUGGGUUUUGCUCCCAAGUG